rnacentral:tRNA from 1 species
GGAGAGGUACCGAAGUGGUCGUAACGGGGGCGCCUCGAAAGCGUCUUGGCGGCUAAACCCCGCCACGUGGGUUCGAAUCCCACCCUCUCCGCCA